CUGGGGAGAACCGCCUUCAGGCGUUUGGACUCAGUGGAGGUUGUGAGUGCCCAGCAGUGUGGCCUGAAUCUCCGUGGGGUUUAGGGAGACGAAAGGACCCCAGAUCGACGUCCCCUCGUUCCCACUUUGGGGAUCGGCGCUCUGGCUGUUUCGUGAAGGAGAGAGAGGUUGAUUCCAUACCCUGGCUAUUGUGAAUAAUGCUGCAGUGAACAUGGGAGUACAUACAUCUGUUUGAGGAACUCAGAGUGGUUUUCCAGAUGGGAAUCACAUUGCUCUCUGUCCCUGAGAUCUUGCUGGAGACAGGGCUACUCAGUCCCUCUUUGCCAGGUAAUCUGUUCCAGAAGAAACAUGUGUCGUUCUGACUGAGCCCCUGCCUGUCUGUCACCUUAAGAGCCAGUCAAUUCAUAUGGUCCCCAUAUCAAAGUCUCCUGUGCCCAGAGAGAGGAUUUCAUUUCAACCAUCACCAUCACCACCAUCAUCAUCAUCACCAAGAGAUGUUGUUGAAUUGAUACUGGAAAAGCAGUUUCUAUUGAGCCCCCAAAUGAAGAGUGAGUGCAGAUGAAGAGGAGGCAGGACUCACAAGCCCUUGAACUUUAUUCCAGAUCUGUUAGCACCUACAGGACCCUGCACCAGGAUUUCAUCUGUACUAUCAGCUUCUUCAAAGAGAGAGAGGUUGUUGAAAUAUUUUCAGUCCAAGAUUGGUUGCAUUCAUGUAUGCAGAAUCCACAGAUACAAAAGGUCAACUGUACUUAUUUAUUUAAUUCUCACCACAACCUAUGAGAAGGAUCUAUUGUUGCCUGACUUUAGAAAAAAGGAAACUGAGGUACAGUGAAGACAGAGUUAGCAAGUGCCAAGGCUUAGAUGUGAACACAGGCUGUGUGGCUCCUGAGUAAAUUCAUCUAUCCAGUGUGUGCUGCUGCCUCUCAAAUGAUGAGAAAAAUCUUGCUUUUUCAGGCCGGGCACAGUGGCUCACGCCUGUAAUCCCAGUUACAGGGAUCACCUCGUGAUCUCAGUGAUAGAUAACACCAGAUUGAUAUUGGAAAAGCAGUUUCCCAUUGAGUCUCAAAUGAAGAGAGUGCAGAUGAAGAGGAGGUAGGAGUCACAAGCCCUUGACCCUCAUGCUAGACCCAUUACCACCCACAGGACCUUGCAGUGGGAUUUCAUCUGCACCAUCAGCUUCUUCAGAGAGAGAGGUUGUUGACUCUUCAUGUGGAUGUCUGAGCUCAUAUCAGGUGUCUGAAAGAGGCAGAUUCUGAGGAUUUGGGUCAUGAUGGCUGCCAAAGCUUCUACUCCUGACUUAAAGGGCAACAAUCCUAGGAGACCACCAGCACUUACAUCCCUGGUAGGACAUGACACCUGCUUAUGGCUCAGAAGUGACAAAAGAGAAUUAUCAGGAUGGCAGUCCUUAUAACCAGAUGCUUAUCAACAUUCUUCACUACAUUCUGAAGAUGAAUUUCUACAAGGGAAAUUGUUUAUAUUUGUUGUUGGGGAUAGAUAAGGAAAGAAGAAAAAGGCUCUGGUGAGAAACCCAUUGUACCUUCUGGAUAUGAUCACUACCCAAUUUUAUCAGUGUCAUUGAUCACUAACCCAGUGCCUCGUAUGGUGCCAGGCACAGAGUUACUCCAAGAAUGUACAAUAAUGGCUGGAUUCUCUUUCUCCCUGUGCAACUCUUCAUGCAUGUGACUGAACUUAUAUUAAGUGUCUGAAGGAGGUUCGUUCUGAGGAUCUGGGACAUGAUGGGUGCUGAAGCUUCUACUCAAGAUUUGAAGGGCAGCUGUCCUCAGGAGACCCCUGGCACUUCCCUCCAUGGUGGGAUGUGAUGCCUGAUUCCAGUGAGUUCAUAGAGCUGAACAAAAGUACGUUGUGGAAUAGCUCCUGUGAGGUUCACAACAUAGUCCGGAAGAUGAGAAACUACUUUUUUUAGUAACCUGGAUUCCCAUCUAAGAGAUGCCUUACUUUAUCGUAAAGCAAUGAGUUGUUCACUUGAGGAGGGAACUUCAUGUUUAACAUGUAUUUGCAACAAAUUUACAUACAUUUUCUGCCUGUAUGAAUAGUUGUCAGUGAUGCCCAUGAAUUUCUCAGAUGGAUGUUGAAGUAUACAGUUAGAAGGUUAGAAGAUCUUCCUAGCAAUCUGUGAUUACGGUAUGCAUUCUUCCAUGGUUUCUACGUUUUUGUCUAUUCUAUAAUGAAAUUUUCUAAGAAGCCAGAAAUUAAUUAAGUGCUACCUAAAAAUAUCAAAAUGUCAGGUACAAGAAUUUGGCAUUUUCAAAAUUAGUAAUUACAAUGUAAGUUUGCCCUAUUAUAAUGAUACCCAGCUAUGUCCAGUAACAUAACUAGAUUGUUCUGAAUACCGUUAUUAUUUCCCAAUAAUACAAACAUCACAAUUUCAGUUCUGUAGUACCUGGCCUACCUACCCUUCCCACUGCCUUGCCCCAGGUAAACACAGCAUGCCUGUCACUAUACAUUAUUUUACAUGCCUGGAAAUAUAUUUAAAUGGAAUCAUAGAGGUGGUUUCUUUUUUUUUUUUUUAUCAACACCUGGCUUUUUUCAUUCACUCCACUUAUUUUUAUAUUUAUCCAUUUUAUUGCAUUUAUCUAUUGAUAUACUUCAUUCUUUUUGAUUGCUAAAUACUAUUGCGGUAUACAACCACACUAAACAUUUUAUUAUCCAUCCAUUUGUCGAUGGACAUUUUGGUUGUUUCUCAUUUGGGGCUCUUGUAAAUAAAGCUGCUAUGAACAUUUGUGAAUAAGUCUUUUUGUGAAAAUAUGCAUUCUCAUUCAAGGGUCAAUACUUAGGAGUUCAAUCUCUGGAUCAUGUGGUAGA
rnacentral:lncRNA from 10 species